GGCAGAGCACCUGACUUUUAAUCAGGUUGUCGGAGGUUCGAAUCCUCCAUGGCUCA
rfam:Halanaerobium kushneri strain ATCC 700103 genome assembly, contig: Ga0104713_136